UUUGCUAGUAGAGAGUGGAUUUUCUGUGCUUUUUUUUGUAAUAUUUAAAUAAAUUAAUAACUAACUUUCUUCGUGUGAAUUAAACUACAACCCAAUACGAAGCUAAAUUUACUUCAAUUUUGGCAGCUAAUUAUAGGAACACCCUGGUGAUUGAGAUGAAGAACUUCAAGGCGAUGAGAGUGGACAGCAUAGGCAAAGAUUUGGACAGUGGACAAAACGGACUUCGCAGCCACAGAACAACAUGAGUCACUUCUCUUCUGCUUCUGCUACAACGUCAUCUUCUUCUUCUG